AUGUCGUAUUAAGUAUAUAAUUACCUGUUAUUACUACUUCAAUAGGGUCUCAUGACAAAUCGAUUCUAUCAAUUCGCACAUGUUUCAAUCACACGCUUAGUAAUUUAACAUUAACGUAUAUUGUGUCGAUUAUAUAAAAACCCAGUUAAUAAACGUAAAAAUAUUAUAUGCAUAUAGAACAGGAAAUAUGAAAGUCAUAAUUUUGUGUGUGGCAAUUUCAUCUCUGGUUUUAUCAAGCGCAAAUAGAAAUAACUAUGGAUUUUUAUGUUCCUGCGCACCGGGGCCACUGCUAUGCGCAAGUGACUUUCAAACCUACGCCGGCGCUUGUAACAUGAGAUGCGCGUCCAUUAAUAAGGGAAUAGAACUGUACAUUUUACACUACGGCAGUUGUGAAGUCUACUACAAUAAUUUAAUUUCGAAAAAAUAUCCUCAAGUACAACCUUUCUCUACGCCAGGCGUAAAACCAUGAUUGUAAAAUAAAGUAUCACCAAAUUAUUAAAGACAAUAAAAUGACUACGUUUGUGUUAUAUUCGGUCGUAUUUUAUUCAAAAACUUUAUUGUAAAAAUAUAUAAUUAUAAAAUCUG